rnacentral:rRNA from 1 species
UGGUUGGCAAAUAAGGGCGAAUGGUGGAUGCCUAGACUAGAAAAGGCGAUGAAGGACGUGGCGUAGCAACGAUAUGCCUCGGGGAGGUGCGUAGCAACCUGUGAUCCGGGGAUUUCCGAAUGGGGAAACCUAGUUGAGUAAACCUCAAUUGUUUCGACGCAAGUCGAUUCGCGUACCCGCUGAAGUAAAACAUUCUAGUAAGCGGAGGAACAAAGAACAAAUCAGUUAUUCCCUGAGUAUCGGCGAGAGAAACGGGAAGAGCCCAAACUAAGGUUCUGAUCGCAAGGUCAGGCUUUAGGGUAAUAAGUAGGGAACGCUCUUUUAGUGAAUAACGUAGAGUGCGUGGCGCAAGCUCCGUGCCUUACGUUAUUUGCUACGAGGUGGAGGAGUAAAAAAAUCGUUGGUUAGCUGAAGCCGUCUGGAAAGCGGCGCCAGAGAGGGUGAUAGCCCCCUAAGCGAAAACCGAUGGUCUCCUUAGUUUUUUAACUUGAGUACUUCGAGGUAAAACAGUCUCGGAGGAAUUUGCCUGUACUAUCAGGUAAGGCUAAAUACUUUUCUAGAUCGAUAGUGAACAAGUACCGUGAGGGAAAGGUGAAAAGCAGGCCGGUGAGGCCGAUGAAAUAGAACCUGAAACCAUUUGUCUACAAGGAAUUGAAGUCCGUUACGGUGCUUCACAGCGAGGAUAACAAGCGUGACCGAAGGGGAAAAGUUUUGCGUAAGCAAAACUUUUAUAUAGAACCCUCUUCGGGCACAUUGUUGUCCCCGGUGUGAAGCACCGGGGACAACAAUGUGCCUAUUGAAGAAUGAUCCAACGACUUAUUUUGUGUUGCUUGUCUAAGCGCGAAUAGCGCGAAGGCGUAGCGAAAGCGAGUCUUAAUAGGGCGCAUGUCCUCCCUUAAAAGAGGAUCGCAGCACAAUAUAGACCCGAAGCGUUAUGAGCUUGCCUUGGCCAGGUUGAACUCCCGAGAAAUCGGGAGGGAGGACCGAACCGGUUGAUUGUUCAAAAUCUUCGGAUGAGCUGAGGUAAGGAGUGAAAAGCUAAUCGAAUAACGUAAUAGCUGGUUCUCUCCGAAAUAGUUUUAGGACUAGCGGUGGAAGUUUCCUGUGGGGGUAGAGCACUGGAUGAUUGUUACAGGGGGAAACUCCGGACGAUCAAUCAAACUCCGAAUACCGCAGAUUAAAUUCCACUAGUCAGACUGCGGGGGCUAAGCUCCGUGGUCGCGAGGGGAAGAGCCCAGACCAUCAUCUAAGGUCCCUAAAUUCAUGCUAAGUGUAAAAGGUAGUCAUCACCCAUAGACAGAUAGGAGGUUGGCUCAGAGGUAGCCAUCCUUUAAAGAGUGUGUAACAACUCACUAUUCGACGGGUGGUGGCGCCGAAAAUGUACCGGGGCUAAGCAUGAUACCGAAGAUAUGGAUUCGUAUGUCCUUCGGGACGUAUGAGUGGUAGGAGAGCAUUUCGGCCUGCAGUGAAGGUCGACCCGCGAGGGCGACUGGAGCGGCCGGAAGAGAAAAUGUUGGAAUGAGUAACCACAAUCCCAAUGAGAAAUUGGAACCCCGAAAAUACAAGGUUUCCGUGGCACUGGCAAUCAUCCACGGGUUAGGCGGUCCUAAGGCAAUCCCGAAAGGGGCAGUCGAUGGGAAGCUGGUUAAUAUUCCAGCCCGGCCGCGCGAUCAUAACCGGAGGACGAAGGAGAUAAACAAUUAUGCCUUAUUGGUUUGGCAUUCUCGAUACUAAGUUCAAGCGUGUAUUGAGAGAAGGUCAGGAAUUUACCUGGCCGACAAUUGCGAAGUGCUUUCCGAGAAAAAUCCGCUAAAUCGAGCGCGAGGUCUCCGUACCGGAAACCGACACUGGUGUAUAGGGCGAGUAGCCCAAGGGGAACGAGUGAUUCAUCGUUAAGGAACUAGGCAAAAUAGCGGCCGUAAGUUAGCAAU